rnacentral:rRNA from 1 species
GAUGAACGCUGGCGGCGUGCUUAACACAUGCCAGUCGAACGAUGAAGCCCAGCUUGCUGGGUGGAUUAGUGGCGAACGGGUGAGUAACACGUGAGUAACCUGCCCUUAACUCUGGGAUAAGCCUGGGAAACUGGGUCUAAUACCGGAUAGGAGCGCCUACCGCAUGGUGGGUGUUGGAAAGAUUUAUCGGUUUUGGAUGGACUCGCGGCCUAUCAGCUUGUUGGUGAGGUAAUGGCUCACCAAGGCGACGACGGGUAGCCGGCCUGAGAGGGUGACCGGCCACACUGGGACUGAGACACGGCCCAGACUCCUACGGGAGGCAGCAGUGGGGAAUAUUGCACAAUGGGCGAAAGCCUGAUGCAGCGACGCCGCGUGAGGGAUGACGGCCUUCGGGUUGUAAACCUCUUUCAGUAGGGAAGAAGCGAAAGUGACGGUACCUGCAGAAGAAGCACCGGCUAACUACGUG